rnacentral:lncRNA from 10 species
AGAAAUGAUUGUAGAAGCGACCCCACCUACCGUCCAUGCUGCUGUGAGGAUGAAACGAGGUAACAGAGGAAAGCGCCGCAGGAAAGCAUAUCUGGACCCAGGCUGCACCUGACAAAAGAAGCAUCAGAUAUGUGGAAAUUUUUUAAACUUCCAAAGGAAUUAGAAGCUACACUUUGUGGAUUUUAUCCCAUAUUUAUCUUCCCUCCUUUUAGAGUUACUCUCAGGCAGAUCAAAGCCUUAACCUGAGGAAAAGCUGCAAAAAGGGAAAUUACUUUUAAAUUUUCAGCUUCAAGUUGUAAGGGUGUGAGGGGAAUUAAGAAAAAGUUGAUGACUGAUCUUCUGAAGGAAUGCAUGCAGAGAAGUAAGAACAACAAGGACUGUGCAAAGAUUGGGCUGAUGGUAAGCACCAGGAAGGCCAGCAGGGGCAACUGAGGACUGACUCCAUCCACCUGCCUUCAGUGCACAGUCAAACAGC